GAAUCUGGGGCCUGCUGUUAAACAUCUGUACUGUUGAUAUAGUGUUUUCACAGGUUGCGGUUGAAGGUGUUAUUGGAGGUUCGGUUCUUUUACCGUGUGUUUCAAGUAAAAAUGAGCACAAACUUCAAGACAUUUCUGUACUUUGGAGACACAAUGGCAGUAUGAACGUGUUUGCCAUAACUGAUGGUAGAGGUUCGGUGGAGGAUCAGGACGUAAAGUACAAGAACCGAGUGAAAACUUUCCCUGAAGAAUAUGAGAAAGGAAACUUCUCCAUUAUAAUCUAUAAUCUUAAACACGCUGAUGCAGGAGAGCACCAAUGCUACAUUGGACAUUCGUUUGAAAAUUUGAAAGUAAAGUUACUUGUCAACGAAUCAACAAAAGCAAAAGAAAAUCUAUCAACGAUAGAAAAGGAGGGAAAAGUAGAAACAAUGCAAACAUGGAAAAUUAUAUUAAUUACUGUUUUUUGUGUUUCUGUGCUGUUGCUGAUUGGUAUUGGUAUUUGGAUUAAGCUUAAAAAACCCAAAAGGACUGAUAGAUCUAGUUGCCAUGGUUAUAAACUUACAUUUACUGCUGCCAGCUAAUAGAUGACAAAUGAGAGCUGUCCCUCGUCUCACAUCUUAGCCAGUUCGCUUUCCUUCAAGAUACGCACGUCACGUGCAGACCCAUACCAUUAAACACAACCUGCACAUUAACUAAACGAACGCCUUUCCCGUUUGCACAAAAGGUAUUCAUUUGCUGAUUCAAACAGUUCUGAAUUCAAAUGAAAUUGAACGAAAGCUUUUAAUAAGUUCAAUACUCUGUUUUCAUAAAUAUCUAAGUAUUUUAUAUCUAAAAUCUAAUUUUUCCAUAAGAAACAAGUCAAGUUUUUAUACUUUACACCUACCUUUGACUGGACACAAGACUAAGGGCCCGUACCAAUACCUCCUCUUCCCCUACAUUGAUUUUUGCCCCAAUUACUUUAGGAAGCAAGACGGAGUGCUAUUUUCCCCUUAGAAUCAACCCUCAAAAUGUAGUCAGGACCGAUGCAGGCUCAAAACAAAGUGGGAGAUGAAAUUACCCAGGAUACCUUGCGAGCUGGUCAGACAUUUCGACCAAGAUGGCAGAUGCCGCGGUAAAAUAACAACUAUAUUUUUGCAAAUAAGCAUGUUAAUUCUGGAAAUUGUUGGAAUAUGUUAGUUUAAACACGAGUUUUGUGUUUGUGAAGUUUUGAACAUUAAUGUUAGAAAAUAUUUCACAAAGCUAUCUGACGAUG